GAACAUAGCAUGGAAAUGCACCUUCCAUAUCUUGCUAAAGUUUUCCAAGGGUAUCCAGUGAAAAUUGUGCCCAUUCUGGUUGGGGCUCUUAGUGCUGAAAGUGAAGCCCUUUAUGGACGGUUUCUCGCAAAAUAUGUGGAUGACUCGAAGAAUUUCUUCUCAGUGUCUUCGGAUUUUUGUCAUUGGGGAUCAAGGUUCAACUACAUACAUUAUGACAAAAGCCAUGGAGCUAUUUACAAAUCUAUUGAAGUCUUGGAUAAAAUGGGUAUGGAUAUUAUAGAAACAGGAGAUCCAGAUGCAUUCAAACUGUACCUGUCAGAGACGGACAACACCAUUUGUGGACGCCAUCCAAUCAGUGUUUUUCUUCAUAUGUUGAAAAACUCGUCGACUAAGAUAAAGAUUAGAUUUCUUCGAUAUGAACAAUCGAGCCAGUGCAAAUCUAUGAGGGACAGCAGCGUAAGCUAUGCAUCGGCAGUGGGAAAAGUUGAUGGUUGAAUUUUAUCAUACAGAAGUUGCUUCUCUGUGGAGAGGCUAAUUAUGUGAGUGUUAGUCAAUCUAACCGUGAAAUAUCUGACAAUCGUUGCGUUGAUAUUGGACCAUCUUAUUCUGGGUUUCGUAUUAAUAAAAAUUCAUACUAGUAAUUUAUUAAUCCCAUUAGCUAAACAAUUUCCUUGAUGUAAUUGCUCAGUAUGAGCAAGAUAUACUCAGGUCCCCUCCUUGUGUGCUU
rnacentral:misc_RNA from 1 species